rnacentral:pre_miRNA from 1 species
UGCUGCUGCUGCUGCUGCUGCUGAUGAUGAUGAUGAUGAUGAUGAUGAUGAUCAUCAUCAUCAUCAUCAUCAUCAUCAUCAUCAUCAUCAUCAAUA